CUCUGAGAAGCUGUUCUCCACCAUGUGCUUAAGGGCCAGACCCGUCAUGGUGCCUUUCUCCAUGUACUCGAUCUGGAAAAGUCCCAGACCAGCACACCGUUGAUGAGGGCCCGUAAUGCGGCUCAGACUUUAGAUUUUAUGAUGGUGCAUCUGGUAUUAAACGUAAACAUGAAGAUAAUUUGUUGAAAGUUCACCUUCAUGACUGCAGCUUUGAUCUCCUCUGCAGUGUGGUACAUGUUGAGAGGGAACUCAGUCCUGACCCGGCUCGAGUACUGAACCAGACCAACUCUGGUGCCGUGAGCAGACACGUCCAGGGAGUCCACGACCUGGAGCACAUGAGGAGGUUGACCCUGACAAACACAUCUGUGCGGCAGCGGGAGCAGCGAUCGAAGUCUCAAUCUGGACUGGAUGAUAAAUGAGAGUGUCUGCACUGCCAUGAAUCUCCAUAUGGAGGUGCUGUAUGAGAGCUGCUGGCAGACACUUUGGGUUCCUCUCAGCCUCCCCAGAGGACAGAACGAUUCAAAAGAUCAUGGCGUCAUCGUCCAGCCAGUUCCGGCCAGACAUAAGUAAGCUCUGGAGGCUUUUCCCCCCUUCGGUGAGGCUCAUCUGAUCACACCACAGGCCAUCUGAGUGUCCGACUCGGUGCAGCACAGAGUGAAGCACAGUGUCGCCUCAGAUCUGCCUCCAUAUCCCGGGUUUCUCCACACCAUCUCACAUGUUGGUGAAUUUGUGCUUGUCAGACUGUCUUACACUAAGCUGAGCCUCUGCUGUGAUGCCCACACUGGGAAACACUCAGUGGUCAGUGGACUUACUGCCGCAGCUCUUGCCAUCCUCCUGCAGCAGUUGUCCCUCUGGACAGAUGCAGUAAUAAGAUCCUGGAGUGCUCACACACUGGUGCUCACAGCCAUGUUCCACAGUGUUACACAGAUCCACGUCUGCAAGAACACACACAUCGCAGCUGAAGACGCCAGGCGCGCUGAUGCAGAUCUGUUCACAGUCGUGUUUCCCCUCGGCACACAGUCGCAGGUGAAGACGCCAGGUGCGCUGACGCAGAUUUGUUCACAGUCGUGUUUCCCCUCAGCGCACAAGUCGAUGGCUAAACAACACACACACAUCGAGUUAAGUCGCAGGUGAAGGAAGCAGGAGAGCUGACACAGAUUUGUUCGCAGUCGUGUUUUCCCUCAGUGCACAGAUCGAUGGCUGAAACACACACGGCAACAAUCUGCUGAAGUGUAUCCAGGCAGACACGAGCAGUGGUACGAGCCCGGGGAGCUUUCACAGAUGUGCUCGCAGCCGUGUUCUGACUCCAGACACAGAUCCACACCUGCAGCGGAGAUCGCAUCAGCUUCAGCAUCAGCACGGUAACAACAAGCUGCAGGGUCAUGAUCAGCUCCUGAGAACUCAUUCAACCCAUCAGCUUCUCAGUACGACUGAUGGACUCAGAUACGAGCACAUUUUGGAUUUUCUGCCAAAACUGGAACUAUUUUCAUUAUUCACAGAGGUUUGAAGUUUCAUUUUCAAUUUUGUUUUUGUUUCUCAUUUUUAACACAUAAUGCCCAAACAUCUAUGAUAACCUGAAAUAAAUUGUAAACCCACCAUGACAUCA